GGCAUGCGUCCUAUUAGAUAGUUGGGGGGGUAACGGCCCACCAAGUCGAUGAUAGGUAGGGGUUCUGAGAGGAAGGUCCCCCACACUGGUACUGAGACACGGACCAGACUCCUACGGGAGGCAGCAGUGAGGAAUAUUGGUCAAUGGGCGAGAGCCUGAACCAGCCAAGUCGCGUGAGGGAUGACUGCCCUAUGGGUUGUAAACCUCUUUUGUAUGGGGGGAAUAAGCUUUACGAGUAGAGUGAUGACAGUACCAUACGAAUAAGCAUCGGCUAACUCCGUGCCAGCAGCCGCGGUAAUACGGAGGAUGCGAGCGUUAUCCGGAUUUAUUGGGUUUAAAGGGUGCGUAGGCGGCAUUAUAAGUUAGUGGUAAAAUAUUGGGGCUUCACCUCACUACGCCAUUAAUACUGUAGAGCUAGAGAACAGACGAGGUAGGCGGAAUAAGUUAAGUAGCGGUGAAAUGCAUAGAUAUAACUUAGAACACCGAUAGCGAAGGCAGCUUACCAGACUGAGUCUGACGCUGAUGCACGAGAGCAUGGGUAGCGAACAGGAUUAGAUACCCUGGUAGUCCAUGCCGUAAACGAUGCUCACUGGCCUUAGGCGAUAUAUGGUCU
rnacentral:rRNA from 1 species